rnacentral:rRNA from 1 species
AUUGAACGCUGGCGGCAGGCCUAACACAUGCAAGUCGAACGGUAACAGGAAGCAGCUUGCUGCUUUGCUGACGAGUGGCGGACGGGUGAGUAAUGUCUGGGAAACUGCCCGAUGGAGGGGGAUAACUACUGGAAACGGUAGCUAAUACCGCAUAACGUCGCAAGACCAAAGAGGGGGACCUUAGGGCCUCUUGCCAUCGGAUGUGCCCAGAUGGGAUUAGCUAGUAGGUGGGGUAACGGCUCACCUAGGCGACGAUCCCUAGCUGGUCUGAGAGGAUGACCAGCCACACUGGAACUGAGACACGGUCCAGACUCCUACGGGAGGCAGCAGUGGGGAAUAUUGCACAAUGGGCGCAAGCCUGAUGCAGCCAUGCCGCGUGUAUGAAGAAGGCCUUCGGGUUGUAAAGUACUUUCAGCGGAGAGGAAGGGAGUAAAGUUAAUACCUUUGCUCAUUGACGUUACCCGCAGAAGAAGCACCGGCUAACUCCGUG